rnacentral:tRNA from 1 species
GGAAACGUAGCCAAGUAGUAAGGCAGCGGUCUGCAAAACCGCCAUGCGCGGGUGCGAAUCCCGCCGUUUCCU